GAUGAAGAACGCAGCGAAAUGCGAUACGUAAUGUGAAUUGCAGAAUUCAGUGAAUCAUCGAAUCUUUGAACGCACAUUGCGCCCCUUGGUAUUCCGAGGGGCAUGCCUGUUCGAGCGUCAUUAUAACCCCUCAAGCUCAGCUUGGUGUUGGGGCCUGCUGCACUGGCAGCCCUUAAAAUCAGUGGCGGCGCCAUCUGGCUCUAAGCGUAGUAAUUCUUCUCGCUAUGGAGUCCUGGUGGAUGCUUGCCAUCAACCCCCAAUUUUUCUAUGGUUGACCUCGGAUCAGGUAGGGAUACCCGCUGAACUUAAGCAUAUCAUAAGCGGAGGA
rnacentral:misc_RNA from 1 species